rnacentral:rRNA from 1 species
AACGCUGGCGGCGUGCUUAACACAUGCAAGUCGAACGAACCUUCGGGUUAGUGGCGGACGGGUGAGUAACGCGUGGGAAUCUGCCCUCAGGAGGGGGAUAACGGUUGGAAACGGCCGCUAAUACCCCAUAUGCCGAGAGGUGAAAUGAAUUUCGCCUGAGGAUGAGCCCGCGUCUGAUUAGCUAGUUGGUGAGGUAAGAGCUCACCAAGGCAUCGAUCAGUAGCUGGUCUGAGAGGAUGAUCAGCCACACUGGGACUGAGACACGGCCCAGACUCCUACGGGAGGCAGCAGUGGGGAAUUUUCCGCAAUGGGCGAAAGCCUGACGGAGCAACGCCGCGUGAGGGAUGAAGGCCUCUGGGCUGUAAACCUCUUUUAUCAAGGAAGAAGAUCUGACGGUACUUGAUGAAUAAGCCACGGCUA